AAUCAACGCUGGCGGCGUGCCUAACACAUGCAAGUCGAACGCGAAAGCCCCGUUCGGGGGCAAGUAGAGUGGCGUCCGGGUGAGUAACACGUGGGUAAUCUACCUCCGGGUGGGAAUAACUCGCCGAAAGGCGGGCUAAUACCGCAUAAUGCAGCGGCACCGAAUGGUGAUUAGUUGUUAAAGCGGGGGACCUUAGGGCCUCGCGUCUGGAGAGGAGCCUGCGGCAG
rnacentral:rRNA from 1 species